GGGCGCUUAGCUCAGCUGGAAGAGCGCCGCCCUUACAAGGCGGUGGUCGGGGGUUCGAGUCCCUCAGCGCCCACCC
rnacentral:tRNA from 1 species